AGGGGGACAACAGUUGGAAACGACUGCUAAUACCGCAUACGAUCUAAUCUCGGCAUCGAGGAUAGAUGAAAGGUGGCCUCUACAUGUAAGCUAUCACUGAAGGAGGGGAUUGCGUCUGAUUAGCUAGUUGGAGGGGUAACGGCCCACCAAGGCGAUGAUCAGUAGCCGGUCUGAGAGGAUGAACGGCCACAUUGGGACUGAGACACGGCCCAGACUCCUACGGGAGGCAGCAUG
rnacentral:rRNA from 1 species